rnacentral:tRNA from 1 species
GAUGGUAAAGCUCAAAUGAUAGAGCGCAUGCUUGGCAUACAUGAGGUCUUGGGUUCAAUCACCAGUACCUUCU